rnacentral:rRNA from 1 species
GUAAUGAUCCUUCCGCAGGUUCACCUACGGA